AUCUCUUCAGGGCACUAGACACGGCCUUUCCUCACCUGUAAACAGAAUCAGGAUGUGUCCUGAAGUUCAGCCAAGUGUCUGGCCUUGGACUUUAGAUGAAUAAUGAUGAUGAACCUUCCUGAGCCCCCUGUCAUUGAGGUUCACUUUGCUCUCAGGAGAACCUUUCGAAAAGAACAUCGACAAGAUUGCCCUUCUGUGAGAUGCGAACAUUUCCAAGAACUUCCCCAAAUCAGCAUGUACAAUUUCAGAACCAUGUUUGUCCACCCUGUCUUAACCGUUUGCCUUACCUUGGGUAAACCACCUGCGAAUUUAAGAUGAAGUUAAUACGGACUACAUUUGUGACUCCAUAAGGUCAACAACCCCUGUGCUUCAGGAGCUGGGCUAGCAACGGGAAUAAGAAUGAAUUGGUAUAAUGGUUACCUUUUGCCAACUUUACACAAACUCAAGUCAUCUGGGAAAUGGGAACCUAGACUGAGGAGUUGCCCCAUCAGAUUGGCCUGUAGGUAUGUCUGUGGGACAUUGCCUUGACUGAUCCAUUUGAAGAGGGCUCAGCCCACGGAGGGCAGCACCAGCCCCUGGACAGAUGGUCCUGGGAUGUCUAAGAAAUGAAACUAAGCGAGCUAGUGUGCAGAGUUCCUCUGUGUUCCAGCUUGAGUUUCUGCCUUGAUUUCCCUCAUUGAUGGCCGAUGAUCAGGGCUGUUAAGCCAAACAACCUCCUUCUUCCCAAAGUUAGUAACAAACUAGGAUAGGAGAGCUGAGUCAAGUCAAUGUUCCAAGUAGGAGCAUGUGCUCGGACUGCUGGGUCCUCACAGUUGUUAAGGAAAAGGCAGAAAUCCAAACUUUUAUAGAAAAUAUACUCAUUUAAGAGUAUUGAAAAGUAAUUUAGAUUUUAUAAUCCACAAGACUAGUCCAAGCAAAUGUAUCUGUGAAACAGAUUUCAUUUCUGGACCACCAGUGGGAACUACUGAGGCCAACCUGAGAGUGAGACCAAAACAUGACAAGUUUCCAGGAAGAUUCGGCAUGAAGGUGGGUGUGAUUUUGUUUAGGGGCAGGGGUCCCAUUGGUGUGUUUUUAGAGAUGGGAAAGAGCCAACAGUAUGAUCUAAGUGUGUAGGAAUACUCUGCCCACUUUAGCCAAGUCAAGGUCCAACCACAACAGAUACCAACAUAAGCAAAAACCAGAUGCCAUAUGGAGAAUCUACAUAGAAAGUGCUUGUCUAGAAGCUACUUGUCCUAUAAAGGAAGUAAAAAUGGGCUGCAGUAAAGAGGGGACUGCAUAUGAGAAAGGCUUCUUUGAAGGAACUAGGCAAGAGCCUCUUUCUCAACCCCACUGCAGGGAGGACCUAGAUGCUGCCUGUUUCUACAGGGAAACUCAGAGAACAUCCCUGACAAUGGGACUUGGCUCACACAUGAGAAAAAGCCACCUAAUGGGUUGGACCAUCUUGAGGGGUCCACAUACACAUAUACCCUCUGUAUUCAUAACUGCUGUCAGAGGGAGGGAGAGGCUAGCCUGCAUCUGCUCUCCAGAGACAGCAUAUGACUUACCAGCUGAUUCUUAUGAGAGUUAAAAGUGCUAUGGAAGGACUGAAUGGCCUUGUUCUUCCAUGGAGCUUUCCCCAGAGAGACAAAGGACAGGACUCACCUCUCUGCCUUCCAGGGCCUUUCCCAGCCCCUUCUACUUUUGUCUGCUCCAUCCGGGAACUAUAAGGUAUCUGCCCUGAGAUCCCCAGAUGGCCUUUCCCACUAAGCCCCAUUCUUAUUUAUCUUCUAUGGAGAGAGCUCUCUUUAGGUCUGAGUCUCCAAGCUGAGGGAGU